rnacentral:rRNA from 1 species
AUUGAACGCUGGCGGCAUGCUUUACACAUGCAAGUCGAACGGUAACAGGUUAAGCUGACGAGUGGCGAACGGGUGAGUAAUGUAUCGGAACGUGCCCAGUCGUGGGGGAUAACGUAGAGAAAGCUACGCUAACACCGCAUACGAUCUGUGGAUGAAAGCGGGGGACCGUAAGGCCUCGCGCGAUUGGAGCGGCCGAUAUCAGAUUAGGUAGUUGGUGGGGUAAAGGCCCACCAAGCCAACGAUCUGUAGCUGGUCUGAGAGGACGACCAGCCACACUGGGACUGAGACACGGCCCAGACUCCUACGGGAGGCAGCAGUGGGGAAUUUUGGACAAUGGGGGCAACCCUGAUCCAGCAAUGCCGCGUGCAGGAAGAAGGCCUUCGGGUUGUAAACUGCUUUUGUACGGAACGAAAAGGCUCUGGUUAAUACCUGGGGUUUAUGACGGUACCGUAAGAAUAAGCACCGGCUAACUACGUGCCAGCAGCCGCGGUAAAAC